rnacentral:rRNA from 1 species
GGGGAAUAUUGCGCAAUGGGGGAAACGCUGACGCAGCAAUACCGCGUGAGUGAAGAAGGUUUUCGGAUCGUAAAGCUCUGUUAUUGGAGAAGCAAAAAAGACGGUACCCCUUGAAUAAGCCACGGCUAACUACGUGCCAGCAGCCGCGGUAAUACGUAGGGGACAAGCGUUGUCCGGAUUUACUGGGCGUAAAGGGCACGCAGGCGGUUUUUUAAGUCAGAUGUGAAAGGUACCGGCUCAACCGGUGACAUGCAUUUGAAACUGAAAGACUUGAGUAUUGGAGAGGCAAGUGGAAUUCCUAGUGUAGCGGUGAAAUGCGUAGAUAUUAGGAGGAACACAGGUGGCGAAGGCGGCUUGCUGGACAAAUACUGACGCUGAGGUGCGAAGGCGUGGGGAGCAAACA